rnacentral:lncRNA from 1 species
GUGUAACUGCAGCCUCGACUUUGAUGUGCAACAAUAUAAGCUACCCUUCUAACAGCUUCAUAGAUUGCUUAUAAACUGUAUUUUUAUUACUUCCACUAAAUUCAAAAAAAUUCUUUUAACUUGCAGAAUGUAAGAAACAUUUCUAAAGCUGAACAGAAACCUGUCAGUACUGAAGUUCUGCUGGAGGAAAGUAGGAAGUAUGAUAUUACAAUAGAAUCCCUGAAAAAUGGCCAAAUCUUAAGCGUAAAAUCAUUUAAAACACAUUACAGACUUGUACCUGAAUUCAAACAACAUAGUUGGGAAAAAACAUAGUAAGUUGGAAGCAUUGCAGGAGCCACCAACUGAUGAAAGAACAUUCAGCAACAGGAAGCUGCAGGAAAUGGUGGAAUUUCAGAAAAUGAUAUCAAAACAUUAGUGACGGCUACUACAGUGUCUUUUAAUUGGAGUAUGAUGGUCAAAGAAUUUUCAGUUUCUCUGAUCCUGAAUGGUACUUCUCAGAUUAUAAAAAGCCCCAGUGGAUUCUUUGUAUGGAGAAAUUUGACACCCGCCACCAUUUAUACAUUUAAGUUUAUAUUUGAACAAUUAAAUCCAAAAUUUGUAAAUGUGUCUCAGUCACUGGAUAUUCAAGCUGAAACAGCCUAAAAUAGAGUGAAGUCAAGGAUGAAGUUAAGCCUUG